rnacentral:lncRNA from 1 species
CAGUGUUUUGUCUGGAAUGAAAGCAGUUGAGACAGCUUUUAUUGUGCAUUUUGUGUCAUGAAAUAGUAAGGAUCUUCCCGCCUCCCCCUACUCCCCAGUAAUGCUCUGAGAGACGAAAGUUUGGGGAGUUCUGAAAGAGAAGAUUUCAAAAGAAGAGGUGAGAGAAGAGCUGAAAACAGGGAGGAUGAUCUGUGAAAUCAUGACAGCAGGUCAGACCAGAAGGUCUAAGUGGUGACCUUCUCUGGGUUGGAUACGCAGAUGGCAAGGAAGAAUCCGUGAGAAUUUACCCUGCUUCCUGUUGGGAGUCUGGAGGAGACUGAAGCAGAGACUGGGAUCAGAAAAGGCUUCACCAGACACGAGGCAUAUCCAGUCUUCCAGCCCUUGGAUGGGAGCUGACAGAAAUACAUGCAUCUAGCAUGAGUUAAGAUUCCUUGGAAGAUUAUGCUCAAGGAGAACAAAGAUGGGAGCAGGAUGGGUUCUCUGAACGGGACUGAAUGAGAACUGGACCGGUUCUAUACGCUGGCUGCCUGGAGCCCCAUGCUGAGGAACAAGUCUGCUCAGGAGAAGAAAAUAGCCACGACAACUUGCUGUGUGAUCCCCAGCAGGUCAAUCCCUCUCUGGGCCUCCAUUUUGUAUCUGUAAAUGAGGAGGUUGGAUAAGACCAGGUGUUGUCAAACUACAGCCUGUGGGCAAAUCCAGACUCCUGCUUGCUGCUAUACAAGCUAAAAAAAAAAAGUUUUCAUUUCAAGGUUAUUGAUAAACAAUCAAAAGAAGAGUAUGUUGUGACAUGCAAAAAUUGUAAGGAAUUCAAACAUCUGUGCCACAAAUAAAAUUUCAUUGGGGCACA